rnacentral:tRNA from 1 species
GGUGUGGCACAGUGUUAGUGUUUAGGGCUUGGGCUCUGGAGCCCUGAAGCCUGGAUUCAAAUUCCAGCCACACUU